GAUGAAGAACGCAGCGAAAUGCGAUAAGUAAUGUGAAUUGCAGAAUUCAGUGAAUCAUCGAGUCUUUGAACGCACAUUGCGCCCCCUGGUAUUCCGGGGGGCAUGCCUGUCCGAGCGUCAUUGCCGCCCUCAAGCACGGCUUGUGUGUUGGGCCCCCGCCCCCCGGCUUCGGGGGGCGGGCCCGAAAGGCAGCGGCGGCACCGCGUCCGGUCCUCGAGCGUAUGGGGCUUCGUCACCCGCUCUGUAGGCCCGGCCGGCGCCCGCCGGCGACCCCAAUCAAUCUUUCCAGGUUGACCUCGGAUCAGGUAGGGAUACCCGCUGAACUUAAGCAUAUCAAAAGCGGAGGA
rnacentral:misc_RNA from 1 species